rnacentral:rRNA from 1 species
AGCAGCCGCGGUAAUUCCAGCUCCAAUAGCGUAUAUUAAAGUUGUUGCAGUUAAAAAGCUCGUAGUUGAAUUUCGGGAUCAAUAUGUCGGUCGUGCCUUCGGUACGUACUGGUAUCAUUGGCCUCUCCUUUCUGACGAACCAUGAUGUCAUUAAUUUGGUGUUAUGGGGAGUUAGGACUGUUACUUUGAAAAAAUUAGAGUGUUUAAAGCAGGCUUUAGCUUGAAUACAUUAGCAUGGAAUAAUGAAGAUAGGACGUUCGAACCUAUUUUGUUGGUUUCUAGGAUCAACGUAAUGAUUAAUAGGGAUAGUUGGGGGCAUUAGUAUUCAAUUGUCAGAGGUGAAAUUCUUGGAUUUAUUGAAGACUAACUACUGCGAAAGCAUUUGCCAAGGAUGUUUUCAUUAAUCAAGAACGAAAGUUAGGGGGAU